GUCAUCUGUGUCCAGGGACCUCCAGGGGUCCUUGAGAAUUCUAGGAGCGCUGGCAGGAAUUUCCAGGAACAGGGUCAUUUUCCACUACACAGUAUAGGAGAACGUAGACUACUAAGAGUAUGUUUUUCAGGGGUGCUGAAGCUUCAAAAACUACAUCUAUGUCAUGAAACAGAAGCUUAAGGGAGGAAUGAAUUAGUGAUGUUCCCAGCCAAUCAUAUCAAGCCAUGCUUCUCCUGAAAAACCAAUAGGAAUCCCUGUCCAGUUCCUCGGUCCAGCCCAUUGAAGAUAAGAUGGAUUAACCUUUUCAUCUCCUAAUGAUGAAGAGAUUAGAAACACAUACGGCGACACAUGGAUGCACUUCAACUGUGACAACCUGAAGUGGCUGCAGUGAAGGUGGGGGCGUGGGAGGACACAGUGGGUAAUUGAGUUCAGGGUGUGUGUCCUUAGAUGUGUGUUACUAUGGAAGAAGGAAGCAGAAUAGAGAAGAGUGUGGUGUUAACCAGCUAAAGCUAUAACAAUUAAAAGAUUAAAUUAAAAGCCAGCUAUUCUAAUCAUCUCUUAAUGGUGUCAGUAACAUUUCUUAGAUGUGCAAAUUCCAGCUCUUUCUUCAAUUAAGACAGUAGAUUUAAAAAUGUCUUUGGACUUUACAUAUCAUCUGUAAAUAUCAACCUAAAUUAGCUGUAAAAAAUUGGCUGUAUUUACAAAUAAAUUCAUGGAGUUUUAGAUAGGACUACCAGACCUACAUCAGCUGAAACCUUUUUUUUCUAAUCAUCAUGCCUUAAAUUUUACUGUGUUAAAGGUAAAGUUAGUCAAUGUUUGUUUUUUUUCCACUACCAGUGGUAAAUACACACU